AAGAGAGAGAGAGAGAGAGAGAGAGAGAGAGAGAGAGAGAGAGAGAGAGAGAAAGAGAGAGUGAGCUUAAAUACGAAACCAUUAUCGGCGGUGACAGCAUCGAGUGUACUGAAAUCUUGCUUCCGAACUUAAUUCUGGAGGUUUGGCAAAUCGCCAAAAUAUCUUAACAAACAAACAAACAAACAAACAAACAAACAAACAAACAAACAAACAAACAAACAAACAAAUAAACAAACAAACAAACAAACGAACUAACAAAAAAGAGCAGAAAAAGGGCAGAUAAGAAAUAACGAAGAGGCUAGACAUUAUCUUUCUUAAAUAACCAGUGUCAAAGUACGACUAUGAUGAUAAUAAACGGAUGUACAAAGAUGCA